GACGAACGCUGGCGGCGUGCUUAACACAUGCAAGUCGAGCGGUAAGGCCCUUUCGGGGGUACACGAGCGGCGAACGGGUGAGUAACACGUGGGUGACCUGCCCUCAGCUCUGGGAUAAGCCUGGGAAACCGGGUCUAAUACUGGAUAUGACUCCAUGACGCAUGUUGUGGGGUGGAAAGCCUUGUGCGGCUGAGGAUGGGCCCGCGGCCUAUCAGCUUGUUGGUGGGGUGANGGCCUACCAAGGCGACGACGGGUAGCCGGCCUGAGAGGGCGACCGGCCACACUGGGACUGAGACACGGCCCAGACUCCUACGGGAGGCAGCAGUGGGGAAUCUUGCGCAAAUGGGCGAAAGCCUGACGCAGCGACGCCGCGUGAGGGAUGACGGCCUGU
rnacentral:rRNA from 1 species